ACGACUAAACAACAACAAAAGAAACAUGGUUGCUUAGAAAGUUGAGAGGAAUUUUGGGACAUUGAUGUCAUGGUGAAAAUUGAUGUUGUGGUGAAUUUUUGUGUGGCAAAAGCACAGAAUUGGUACUUCAGACUCUGAAGAGGCACUGGGAAUAAAAGGAGUCAGGAAGAUAACACAGGGAAGUAGAAUACAUAUUCAGUACAGCUUGGCUCGGAAAAAAUCCGAAUAAAGCACACGAUUAAGUAGUAUUUUAAAAGGGUGUUUUCUCACCACGUUACGUAGCCCAAACUGUGCGUGAAUCUGCAAUCCAGUGGUCUGCUUUCAACAUAUCUCAAGAAACUGCAAAACUCAGUGUAACUAGAGCUGAGUAGCAUUUACUGUGAGGUCUGUGGAUCCUCCUGGGA